rnacentral:rRNA from 1 species
GAUGAACGCUAGCGGGAGGCCUAACACAUGCAAGCCGAGCGGUAUUGUUUCUUCGGAAAUGAGAGAGCGGCGUACGGGUGCGGAACACGUGUGCAACCUGCCUUUAUCUGGGGGAUAGCCUUUCGAAAGGAAGAUUAAUACUCCAUAAUAUAUUGAUUGGCAUCAAUUAAUAUUGAAAGCUCCGGCGGAUAGAGAUGGGCACGCGCAAGAUUAGCUAGUUGGUGAGGUAACGGCUCACCAAGGCGAUGAUCUUUAGGGGGCCCGAGAGGGUGAUCCCCCACAAUGGUACUGAGACACGGACCAAACUCCUACGGGAGGCAGCAGUGAGGAAUAUUGGUCAAUGGGUGCAAGCCUGAACCAGCCAUCCCGCGUGAAGGACGACUGCCCUAUGGGUUGUAAACUUCUUUUGUAUAGGGAUAAACCUACCCUCGUGAGGGUAGCUGAAGGUACUAUACGAAUAAGCACCGGCUAACUCCGUGCCAGCCGCCGCGGUAACAC